AGAACAGAUACCAAAAGAACUUAGAGGCUGUCCAUUCAAAUCCAAUCAUUGUAUAUAUUAUAACACCAUAAACUGCAGCUUGAACAAAAAUAUAUGGAAUCUCAAUUGCAACUUGUGCAAAGGCAUAUGGAAAAGCUGAGUACAUUCCCGAAGCUCUUUCUCUGUAGAAAACUGUUCUUUCGAUAGCUACAACAGGCAUCACAGUUGAUCCAUUCUGCGUCCCG
rnacentral:misc_RNA from 1 species